GACGAACGCUGGCGGCGUGCUUAACACAUGCAAGUCGAACGGAAAGGCCCUGCUUUUGUGGGGUGCUCGAGUGGCGAACGGGUGAGUAACACGUGAGUAACCUGCCCUUGACUUUGGGAUAACUUCAGGAAACUGGGGCUAAUACCGGAUAGGAGCUCCUGUUGCAUGGUGGGGGUUGGAAAGUUUCGGCGGUUGGGGAUGGACUCGCGGCUUAUCAGCUUGUUGGUGGGGUAGUGGCUUACCAAGGCUUCGACGGGUAGCCGGCCUGAGAGGGUGACCGGCCACAUUGGGACUGAGAUACGGCCCAGACUCCUACGGGAGGCAGCAGUGGGGAAUAUUGCACAAUGGGCGGAAGCCUGAUGCAGCAACGCCGCGUGCGGGAUGACGGCCUUCGGGUUGUAAACCGCUUUCGCCUGUGACGAAGCGUGAGUGACGGUAAUGGGUAAAGAAGCACCGGCUAACUACGUG
rnacentral:rRNA from 1 species